CCAUGAGGCAGCAGUCGAUGAGCAGCUCUAGAUACUCCACGCGAGGUUCUGCAGGUGUCCCACCCUUCUCUCAAGGCCAGGAUGCUCCAGAAGCAUCAUCCAGUGGUCUCCUCCCUGGUUGAUGUUAGCGAUGUGUCAGCAUUAAGCUAGCCCUGCCUGCUAGGCUGCUGGGGCCUUGGUGGCGACCAGCCCAGUCCAGCCCAGCCUGGCUGAGGGCCAGAUCAGACAUGCCGUGGCACCGGACUAGAGACGUGACAGGAUCAAGGAUUUGAUGGCAGAAAGAGGAUGGUUGAGAAAACAGGGGAAGGAAAGCGGAGACUCCAGGUCAUUCUCUGCACCAAGUUGGCGCUAAAGUAUGGUAUGUCCAUCGGCCGAAUUAACCAACACUAAUCCUAGCCCAUUCCGUCCUGCACCUACACAUAGCAUUCAAUGGGUUAAGGUGCAUAUAUUUGAGGACACGCACCCUAUAAAGGAUGUGGGUGAGCCAUUACAUGUGUGAAUAAGAAAAGUGUACAUGUUGCUCAGUCAGCUAUUGCACAGACAGAGACCAUCAAUCAGUAAUGUAAGCUGCCUUGCUCUUUUUGCUGGUCCCUCAAGUCUUCUCCCAGAUCUGGGAUUAGGCAGCACUUUGCCUGCAACACUAUUCAUUUGGGGUGGACUUCUGUGGUAAACUUUGACCACAAAUCAUGCAAAUCAGACUUUUACAGUUUAAUAUGCAUGUUUAAUAAAUAUAAUAGAAUGCAUUUCAAACCGUUUUUUAUGAUGCCUUUCCCUAAUUUCGGUAAAAGGUUAACGUUUGUAGCUGUAGCACUAUUUUGAAAUGACAAUAAAAUAUAUCAUAUAUAAUGUG